UCCCGUUAUCAGAACCAACUCCUACUCCGUGAAAUGAUUCGCCCGAUACUAAUGCUUGGAGCAGCUUUGGAGGUGAAGGCAUUGUUACCUCCACUACUCCUUCCAACAUUUUCACCACCAUUCCCAUGGAAGGCCUCAUUGAUUCAUCAUCCUGAAUGCACCAAAUCGCUACCAAUCCCACACGUUCUGCCUCCAUGACAUCGUACAUUCCACAUAGCCUUUCAUCGAUGACAGCUGCAAUCUGACCACCAUUCCCAUGGAAGGCCUCAUUGAUUCAUCAUCCUGAAUGCACCAAACCGCUACCAAUCCUAGACGUUCUGCCUCUGUCUCAUCGUACACUCCACGUAGCCUUUCAUCGAUGACAGCUGCA
rnacentral:lncRNA from 1 species